rnacentral:rRNA from 1 species
GAUGAACGCUGGCGGCGUGCCUAAUACAUGCAAGUCGAACGCUGAAGGCGGAGCUUGCUCUUCUGGACGAGUUGCGAACGGGUGAGUAACGCGUAGGUAACCUGCCUGGUAGUGGGGGAUAACUACUGGAAACGAUAGCUAAUACCGCAUGACAACAGCUACUGCAUGAUAACUGUUUAAAAGGGGCAACUGCUCCACUACCAGAUGGACCUGCGUUGUAUUAGGUUGUUGGUGAGGUAACGGCUCACCAAGGCGGCGAUACAUAGCAGAACGGAGAGGGUGGUCAGCCACACUGGGAGUGGGACACGGCCCAGACUGCUUCAGGAGGGAGCAGUAGGGAAUCGUCGGCAAUGGGCGGGAGUCAGACCGAACAACGCCGCAUGAGUGAAGAAGGUUUUCGGGUCGUGAAGCUCUGUUGUAGGGGAAGAACGAGUGUGAGAGUGGAAAGUUCACUCUGUGACGGUAUCUGAUAAAGAAGAAACGGCUAACUACGUG